UACAGAGGGGGCAAGCGUUGUUCGGAAUUACUGGGCGUAAAGCGCACGUAGUCGGCUUUGCAAGUCGGUUGUGAAAUCCCCGGGCUCAACCUGGGAACUGCAUCCGAGACUGCAUUGCUAGAGUAUGGGAGAGGAAAGCGGAAUUUCUGGUGUAGCAGUGAAAUGCGUAGAUAUCAGAAGGAACAUCAGUGGCGAAGGCGGCUUUCUGGACCAAUACUGACGAUCAGGUGCGAAAGCGUGGGGAGCAAACAGG
rnacentral:rRNA from 1 species